GACGAACGCUGGCGGCGUGCUUAACACAUGCAAGUCGAACGGUAAGGCUCCGGCUUGCUGGGGUACACGAGUGGCGAACGGGUGAGUAACACGUGGGUGACCUGCCCUGCACUUCGGGAUAAGCCUGGGAAACUGGGUCUAAUACCGGAUAGGACCGCACCGUGAGGGUGUGGUGGAAAGUUUUUUCGGUGUGGGAUGGGCCCGCGGCCUAUCAGCUUGUUGGUGGGGUAAUGGCCUACCAAGGCGGCGACGGGUAGCCGGCCUGAGAGGGUGGACGGCCACAUUGGGACUGAGACACGGCCCAGACUCCUACGGGAGGCAGCAGUGGGGAAUAUUGCACAAUGGGCGGAAGCCUGAUGCAGCGACGCCGCGUGGGGGAUGACGGCCUUCGGGUUGUAAACUCCUUUCACCAUCGACGAAGGGUUUCUGACGGUAGAUGGAGAAGAAGCACCGGCUAACUACGUGCCAGCAGCCGCGGUAAUACGUAGGGUGCGAGCGUUGUCCGGAAUUACUGGGCGUAAAGAGCUCGUAGGUGGUUUGUCGCGUCGUCUGUGAAAUUCCGGGGCUUAACUCCGGGCGUGCAGGCGAUACGGGCAUAACUUGAGUACUGUAGGGGAGACUGGAAUUCCUGGUGUAGCGGUGAAAUGCGCAGAUAUCAGGAGGAACACCGGUGGCGAAGGCGGGUCUCUGGGCAGUAACUGACGCUGAGGAGCGAAAGCAUGGGGAGCGAACAGGAUUAGAUACCCUGGUAGUCCAUGCCGUAAACGGUGGGCGCUAGGUGUGGAUUUCCUUCCACGGGAUCCGUGCCGUAGCUAACGCAUUAAGCGCCCCGCCUGGGGAGUACGGCCGCAAGGCUAAAACUCAAAGGAAUUGACGGGGGCCCGCACAAGCGGCGGAGCAUGUGGAUUAAUUCGAUGCAACGCGAAGAACCUUACCUGGGCUUGACAUAUACAGGAUCGCGCCAGAGAUGGUGUUUCCCUUGUGGCUUGUAUACAGGUGGUGCAUGGUUGUCGUCAGCUCGUGUCGUGAGAUGUUGGGUUAAGUCCCGCAACGAGCGCAACCCUUGUCUUAUGUUGCCAGCACGUUGUGGUGGGGACUCGUAAGAAACUGCCGGGGUUAACUCGGAGGAAGGUGGGGAUGACGUCAAAUCAUCAUGCCCCUUAUGUCCAGGGCUUCACACAUGCUACAAUGGUCGGUACAGUGGGUUGCCAGUCCGUGAGGGCGAGCUAAUCCCGCAAAGCCGGUCUCAGUUCGGAUCGGGGUCUGCAACUCGACCCCGUGAAGUCGGAGUCGCUAGUAAUCGCAGAUCAGCAACGCUGCGGUGAAUACGUUCCCGGGCCU
rnacentral:rRNA from 1 species